GACGAACGCUGGCGGCGUGCUUAACACAUGCAAGUCGAACGGAAAGUGCCUGCUUUUGUUGGGUGCUCGAGUGGCGAACGUGUGUGUAACACGAGAGUAACCUGCCCUUGACUUUGGGAUAACUUCAGGACACUGGGUCUAAUCCCGGAUAGGAGCUCCUGCUGCAUGGUGGGGGUUGGAAAGUAUCGGCGGUUGGGGAUGGAUUCGCGGCUUAUCAGCUUGUUGGUGGGGUAGUGGCUUACCAAGGCGUUGACGGGUAGCCGGCCUGAGAGGGUGACCGGCCAAUUGGGAACGGGAUACCGGCCAGAAUCCUAAGGGAGGCAGGCGGGGGGAAUAUUGGAACAUGGGAGGAAGACUGAUGCAGAAAAGUUCUGUGCGGGAUGACGGCCUUCGGGUUGUAAAAAGCUUUCGCAUGUGACGAAGAGUGAGUGACGGUAAUGGGUAAAGAAGCAACGGCUAAAUACGUG
rnacentral:rRNA from 1 species